rnacentral:rRNA from 1 species
UACGAAGGGGGCUAGCGUUGCUCGGAAUUACUGGGCGUAAAGCGCACGUAGGCGGUCUUUUAAGUCGGGGGUGAAAUCCUGGAGCUCAACUCCAGAACUGCCUUCGAUACUGGAAGACUCGAGUCCGGGAGAGGUGAGUGGAACUGCGAGUGUAGAGGUGAAAUUCGUAGAUAUUCGCAAGAACACCAGUGGCGAAGGCGGCUCACUGGCCCGGUACUGACGCUGAGGUGCGAAAGCGUGGAGAGCAAACAGG